rnacentral:rRNA from 1 species
ACUCCUACGGGAGGCAGCAGUAGGGAAUCUUCCGCAAUGGACGAAAGUCUGACGGAGCAACGCCGCGUGAGUGAUGAAGGUUUUCGGAUCGUAAAGCUCUGUUGUUAGGGAAGAACAAGUACCGUUCGAAUAGGGCGGUA